rnacentral:lncRNA from 1 species
GUUUUACUCUAUUUCAUUCCAUUUCAUAUUUUUAAAAUAUAGAUCAUGACUUGUGAAAUCAGUUUAUUCACUUGUUGUUCAGGAUUUGAAUAAUUAUUGCCAUUGGCUGUGCUUGUAGUUUUGUUUUACUUUCAUUUUUAUUGUUUUACUAUUUUUAUUGGUUAUUUUAGUUAUACACGAUAGUAGAGUCCAUUCUGAUAUAGUUAUGCAAGCACAGGAUAUAUUGUAUUUAGGACCCAAGUCUUAUGGAUGUACAUGAUGGUGGGAUUCACUGUGCUGUAUUCAUAUAUGUACAAAGGAAAUUUAUGUCAGAUUCAUUCCACUGCCUUUCGUAUUCCUGUCCCCACUCCCUUCCUUUCAUUCCCCUUUGUCUAAUCUAGUGAACUUCUAUCCCUGCCCUUUGUUGUGGGUUAGCAUCUGUAUGUCAGAGAGAAAAUUAGACCUUUGUUAUUUUGUCAUUGGCUUAUUUCACUUAGCUUGAUAGUCUCCAGAUCCAUCAAUU